rnacentral:rRNA from 1 species
UUAUUUAUCAUAUUAUAUUUAUUUUUUGUUUAUUUAAUUGUAUAAUAGGAAUAAUUUUGUUGAUUUUUUGUCUUAGUAUAUUUUGUAGAAUAGAUUUUAAGAAUAAUAGUUUAUUAGUAAUGUAAUUGGAUUAUGAAAUAUUUAUUUAAAUUUGAUUAAGUAAAUUUUAUUUAUUGUACCUUUUGUAUCAGGGUUUAUCAAAAUUUUGGUAAUUAAUUACUUAUCUCGAUUUAGGUUGAUUUACAAAAAACUUAUAUUUAAUGUUUCAUAAUUAUUAUUAAGUUUUUUGUAGAAAUGAAAUGUUAGUCGUUUCCUAAGAUAUCUAGUUUCUUGAGAAAAAAUUUAAUUUUUUAUGGUUAGUUUGUUUUUAUUUAAUUUUUUAGUUAAAAAUAUUAACUUAUUUAGUUUUUAGGGGAUAAGCUCUAAAAUUAAUGAUCCUAUAAUUUUUAUUUCGGUAAUAUAAUAGUAAGCUUUAAACCAGCUAUCUUUAUUGAUUACGUUUUAGUUCAUUGUUUAUUAUUUUGAUUUUAUAAUUAUUUUAGGUUUCUUAUCAAGAUUUUAGAUUUAAUUUUAAAAUUUUUGUAAUAAUGAUGGAAUUAGUAUAUUUAUUUUGUUUAUGAUAUUUUGAAUGAUAACUUAUUAUAAGGAAUUAGGCAAAAAUUGAUUUCCGCCUGUUUAUCAAAAACAUGUCCUCUUGAUUAAUAUUUUGAGGUCUGGCCUGCUCACUGACUGGGUUUUGAAGAGCCGCGGUAUUUUGACCGUGCAAAGGUAGCAUAAUCAUUAGUCUCUUAAUUAGGGGCUGGAAUGAAUGGCUUGACGAGAAAUCAACUGUCUCUAGAUAAAUUUUGAAAUUUAACUUUUGAGUCAAAAGGCUUAAAUUUUUCUUUAGGACGAGAAGACCCUAUAGAGCUUAACAUUUUAAUUUUAUAUGGUUUUUAGUUUAUCUUUCUAUAUAGGAUGAUAAUGUUUUGUUGGGGUGACAUGAAGAAUAAAUAAACUCUUCAUUAUAAAAUCAUUAGUUUAUGUAUUUCGGAUGAUCCAUAAUUUAUGAUCAUAAGAUUAAGUUACCUUAGGGAUAACAGCGUAAUUGUUUUUGAGAGCUCAUAUCGACAAAUCAGAUUGCGACCUCGAUGUUGGAUUAAGAUAAAUUCUGGGUGUAGGAGUCUGGAAAUUAGGUCUGUUCGACCUUUAAAUUCUUACAUGAUCUGAGUUCAGACCGGCGUGAGCCAGGUCGGUUUCUAUCCUAAGAUAUUUAGCUCAUAUUAGUACGAAAGGACCAUGUGGGUGAAAUAUUUUUUCUAUUAUUGACUAAUAUUAAUAAUUAU